UUUAGAUGGUCACUUAUGCCUGAAUUCUCAUUCUCAUGUAUUGAGUUUCUGUAAAGAAGGUCCUAUUGUACUGUUAUCUUUUCAGGGAUGCUCUGGAGCCAGCUCAUACCUGCUUACAAGAAGCAAAUGUUAAAUUUUCAAUCAAGCUUUUAUUCAGCCUUUUCUUGAGGAGGACAUCUAAUGAAGAGAGUGUUACCUCCUUCUGGUGAAGUCCAUUCAACUUUUGGAUGACUUUAAUGUUAAUCCCUAAGCCUGGAAUGAGGCAGCUAGGUGGCAGUGGAGAUAGCAUUUAUCCUGGAAUCAUGAAGAGGAUACUGGCAUGUCAGAGAACUUUUUCUAUCUAUUCUUCAUUGACAAAAGGGCCUGACGCUCUGUUUGCAGCAGAUUUGAGGAGCCUCAUUGGAUCAUAAGCUCAAGUCAACCAUCAUAAAUCUCAGGGCCUGUGUCUACAUGAGGCCAAAAAGCACUUUAUUUUUGGAGUACUUAUUAAGCUGCUUAGAAGUCAUUUCAACCUGCUAUUCCAGCUUCGUUUAACUGGUGAUCAAACAGGGCAGUUUUUUUUUGUUUGUUUGUUUGUUUUUUGGUGGGAAGGAAGAGGAGAGGAGAGGAGAUAAUGCUCUAAUCUUGAAUAGAUUUUUAAAAGUGCAGAAGACUUGCUGGCCAUUGUAGAAAUAGAACUGGGGGAAUGGUGGGUAAUUUUUACUAAUGUCAAAUGGGCAGUUUUCUGUGGAAACCUACAAAAGGGAAACAAAAACAGGCCUGAAUGAAAAUAGAUAAACUAAAACUUUCCUAGGAAUACAAGAAAAGGAAUUCACUUCAUUUAAAAAAAUAUUUUGAAUUUUUGACAGAUAUCAAGAGAGGAUAGUAACAGCCCAAUUCAUUUGUGAAAGGAGGCUAAGUGGCACAAUAGAUGGGACUUGGAGUUAAGACUCUUGAGUUUGAAUGUUUUUCCAGUCAGUUAAUAAACUUUGUG
rnacentral:lncRNA from 1 species